GCCCAGAUGGUGAAAUUGGUAGACACGCUAGACUUAGGAUCUAGUGCUUCGGCGUGGAGGUUCAAGUCCUCUUCUGGGCACCA
rnacentral:tRNA from 1 species